UCGAUCCUGGACGACGACA
rnacentral:misc_RNA from 1 species